rnacentral:antisense_RNA from 1 species
AACAUGGAAUUAACAGGACUCAUGGGUGUAUUCAUAAAAGCAACUGAAUUUUUAGUCUUCUGCCGUCCCGUUAAUAAUCUGUUCCAUGAGGAUAGUUCUUCCUCUUCCACCGAAUGAAACUGAGGCAGUCCCAUAACUUUUUUAUUCCCUCAGGUAAUAGAAAAUCCUGUUACUUUAAGAGGAAAAACCCUGCUCUUAAUUCAGUAAUUCAGAUCUUGUCCCCUUCCCCAGCAGGGGCCUCCUAUGGACAGAAGUGCGGGCAAGGAGCUUUGUUCCUCCCCGAUGUCACCCUCCCACAGCCCACCUGCUAGCAGGCAAGAGAGUGGUGGAGGCCGGCAGGAAGGCAUGUACUGAACUGGGCCUCUGGUGGAAUGGCGUCACCCAUGCUGGGCUUGACUCUUACCAUCGGGGUCCCGCCAACCCUUCAGUGAGACUUUUUCAGAAGAAUCCCUUUUAAAAUGACCUCAAGCUGACCUUCCUGCUGCAGAUUCCACAUAUGGUAUCUGAGACUCACACAGUGUGGUUGGAAGAUAGCACAGUGACCUCCCAGGCACAGCCCCCUGCCAGCCCUCCACUGGCUGCCCUAGGAUGCUGGCCUUCCUCCGAUGGGAGUCGGGCCCAGUCUGCUGUCAGCCAGGAGCAGCCAGCAAGCUCCCUGGGAGGCCUGGAGGAGCCCUUCUCACUCAGCUUGGUGUUCGAUGCCAGUGCCCCCACCCAUUGUGGGGUGAGGGUGGGACUCUCAGCACAGCCCUGUCCAAAUAAAUCCUCUAAAGCCCUCUUC